rnacentral:rRNA from 1 species
UACGUAGGGGGCAAGCGUUGUCCGGAAUUAUUGGGCGUAAAGCGCGCGCAGGCGGUCAUUUUAAGUCUGGUGUUUAAUCCUGGGGCUCAACCCCCAGUUCGCAUCGGAAAACUGGAUGACUUGAGUGUAGGAGAGGAAAGUGGAAUUCCACGUGUAGCGGUGAAAUGCGUAGAGAUGUGGAGGAACACCAGUGGCGAAGGCGACUUUCUGGCCUAUAACUGACGCUGAGGCGCGAAAAGCGUGGGGGAGCAAACAGG